GUUUAAUCAUAAAACAUUACAGAAGGGUGGUUAAUCAAACUACCUUGUAACUCAACUUAUCAUACCAUGGAAAAUAUAUGUACCAAUAUAAAUCUAUACACAAAAUUUUGUCCAUCAUCCCAAUACGGGAGCCUAGCAGAGAGAAUGAAGAUUCAUCACUAGGAGAGAAACACAUUUUCAAAAGCCACAACAUGACAGUCCACCAGCGCUGUCACUUAGCUCUGGGUCACAAAAACAUGGAAACUAUUGGAGCAACAGUUUCAGACAUGUGUUCAUGUAGG